GAUGAACGCUGGCGGCGUGCCUAAUACAUGCAAGUCGAGCGAACGGACGAGAAGCUUGCUUCUCUGAUGUUAGCGGCGGACGGGUGAGUAACACGUGGAUAACCUACCUAUAAGACUGGGAUAACUUCGGGAAACCGGAGCUAAUACCGGAUAAUAUUUUGAACCGCAUGGUUCAAAAGUGAAAGACGGUCUUGCUGUCACUUAUAGAUGGAUCCGCGCUGCAUUAGCUAGUUGGUAAGGUAACGGCUUACCAAGGCAACGAUGCAUAGCCGACCUGAGAGGGUGAUCGGCCACACUGGAACUGAGACACGGUCCAGACUCCUACGGGAGGCAGCAGUAGGGAAUCUUCCGCAAUGGGCGAAAGCCUGACGGAGCAACGCCGCGUGAGUGAUGAAGGUCUUCGGAUCGUAAAACUCUGUUAUUAGGGAAGAACAUAUGUGUAAGUAACUGUGCACAUCUUGACGGUACCUAAUCAGAAAGCCACGGCUAACUACGUGCCAGCAGCCGCGGUAAUACGUAGGUGGCAAGCGUUAUCCGGAAUUAUUGGGCGUAAAGCGCGCGUAGGCGGUUUUUUAAGUCUGAUGUGAAAGCCCACGGCUCAACCGUGGAGGGUCAUUGGAAACUGGAAAACUUGAGUGCAGAAGAGGAAAGUGGAAUUCCAUGUGUAGCGGUGAAAUGCGCAGAGAUAUGGAGGAACACCAGUGGCGAAGGCGACUUUCUGGUCUGUAACUGACGCUGAUGUGCGAAAGCGUGGGGAUCAAACAGGAUUAGAUACCCUGGUAGUCCACGCCGUAAACGAUGAGUGCUAAGUGUUAGGGGGUUUCCGCCCCUUAGUGCUGCAGCUAACGCAUUAAGCACUCCGCCUGGGGAGUACGACCGCAAGGUUGAAACUCAAAGGAAUUGACGGGGACCCGCACAAGCGGUGGAGCAUGUGGUUUAAUUCGAAGCAACGCGAAGAACCUUACCAAAUCUUGACAUCCUUUGACAACUCUAGAGAUAGAGCUUUCCCCUUCGGGGGACAAAGUGACAGGUGGUGCAUGGUUGUCGUCAGCUCGUGUCGUGAGAUGUUGGGUUAAGUCCCGCAACGAGCGCAACCCUUAAGCGUAGUUGCCAUCAUUAAGUUGGGCACUCUAAGUUGACUGCCGGUGACAAACCGGAGGAAGGUGGGGACGACGUCAAAUCAUCAUGCCCCUUAUGAUUUGGGCUACACACGUGCUACAAUGGACAAUACAAAGGGCAGCGAAACCGCGAGGUCAAGCAAAUCCCAUAAAGUUGUUCUCAGUUCGGAUUGUAGUCUGCAACUCGACUACAUGAAGCUGGAAUCGCUAGUAAUCGUAGAUCAGCAUGCUACGGUGAAUACGUUCCCGGGUCU
rnacentral:rRNA from 1 species